AGCUUUGCGCAGUGGCAGUAUCGUAGCCAAUGAAGUUUAUCCGAGGCGCGAUUAUUGCUAAUUGAAAAACUCUGUUACUUUUUUAAAUAUAUAUCUCCUUGGUAGAUUGAUUCUUUUAAAGAUGGUAAAAACUA
rfam:Mustela putorius furo unplaced genomic scaffold scaffold00044, whole genome shotgun sequence.